UAUGUUGAGGCUGGGACUGGGAUAGUGGGUACGGAAGUAUGGUAUGUUGAGGCUGGGACUGGGAUAGUGCGUAUGGAGGUAUGGUAUGUUGAGGCUGGGACUGGGAUAGUGGGUACGGAGGUAUGGUAUGUUGAGGCUGGGACUGGGAUAGUGGGUAUGGAGGUAUGGUAUGUUGAGGCUGGGAGUUUGUGGUUUGUUAUUAAUGUGUGUCUUGGCAUGUGAGGGGUGUGUCUGCCAGUGUGUUAGGCUGUGGAACAAUGGGUGAUGUUUGGUAUGUGGGGGCUGUCUGUGAGAGGGGG
ensembl:lncRNA